GUUUGAAUGAUGACUUUUAAAUCUUUUGUCGGAUACCCCUUCACUCUCAAAUGAGUGAGAUCCGCAUUCUGACAUGC